ACCUUGGUGGCGCAAUCGGUAGCGCGUUAGACUCUUACAAAUUGAGGAGUUACUCCACUGAAAAAUUCGGUAUUUCGAGGAAUCUGAAUGUUGCGGGUUCGACCCCCGUCCAGGGUG
rnacentral:tRNA from 1 species